rnacentral:lncRNA from 1 species
CCCACUGCAGCAAAUAUUUUCACCGAUCAAACAAUAAUCUUCUUGACUUGUCCCCAAUAGGAUACAACAGUCUUCUGAAAGAACAACUCAACAACUCUAAACAAGAGUUGAGUUUAAAGCUCCAUAAAAAGAACACCUUCCUUCAACUAAUAAACUCUCUUUUUUACUAACUUUUGUGAAUUCUCUAUUGUUUUGUGUGUACUCAAAUAAUAUGCAAGACCACCUCUAUUUAUAGGUAAGAAAUCUUUCAUGCA